UACGUAGGGUGCGAGCGUUAAUCGGAAUUACUGGGCGUAAAGCGUGCGCAGGCGGCUUUGCAAGACAGAUGUGAAAUCCCCGGGCUCAACCUGGGAACUGCAUUUGUGACUGCAAGGCUAGAGUGUGUCAGAGGGGGAUGGAAUUCCGCGUGUAGCAGUGAAAUGCGUAGAUAUGCGGAGGAACACCAAUGGCGAAGGCAAUCCCCUGGGCCUGUACUGACGCUCAUGCACGAAAGCGUGGGGAGCAAACAGG
rnacentral:rRNA from 1 species